ensembl:lncRNA
CAAGUCUGCACUCUCACUAGAAGCUAAAAAAUAUCUGAACAGGGGCUAUAGUACUUCGGAGAUACGGUGAGAAAAACAAAAUUCCCUGGCAAAAGAUCGUAAGCAGAAGGCGUUAGGAAACGAGGACAAGCACAGGUAUGAGAUGGAGUGACUCCACAAAGGAAACUACGGCCUUGCCUUUGCAAGACCUGAGCUGGACUGUUACGGAUCAGACCUUUCGGAGAGAAUUCACCCCUGGGAGUCGCGAAGGCUACGCACGACCACCAAAGGAUACAGUAUUAAGCAGGAGGAGGCUUAAUACGCCCCCCGCCAAAGACGGGAAGGUGGGUGGGGAACAGACGAAUCCGGAUGGGUUUGUCUUGCCAGGAAUCUGGCGUGGCUUCAGUCACGUGACGAGGAAACGUCACAAAUUGAAAUCCAGAUAACAGGAGGAAAAGUGGGGAUCGUGGGGGACCUUUGGCGAGCGACGGGCAGAGGCCGGAGCAGGGCUCCUGGGAGUCGCGAAGGAGAAGGGAAAGGCACGGAUGCAAGAUCGAGGUGGAGGAGAAACGGGAUUGCCCGGUGGGGAGGAAAAUCGGAGGGUGGGUUUCCUGGCCGGGGAAACGUCUGAACGGGCCAUUUUGCUGGGAAGAAGGACGGGAGAAGGAGGUGUCGAGACAGGCGGAUUUCUCGGAGCCACUGGGAGCCGGGCUGCGAGUGCAAAGAGUGCAAAGUCCCACCGACUCCUAAAGGAUUUCUACUCUUCAAUCCUUACUAGGAGUUUGUGGAUUGAGCGAGGCCCACCCCGGUUCCCAUCAUCUCAUUUUAGGAAAAAUGGAGGUUAUGUUGGAGGACAACACAGGUAAGGGAACAAAACCACAAGCAAUCGUAAUUAUGUACUUGCAUUAAACUAGAAUAUGGAAUGUCAGUUUUUUACAAGUACAGGUGGAUCAAGCCAAAGGCCUAGUCCAGCUUCCUGUAUUUCACAGGAGCCCCACCAGAUCCUCUGGGAGCACACGAGACCACUGGAUACCCGUCUCCUGAUGCCCCUCCCCUGCAUCUGGCAUUUGAAGGUACCUUCCUUUUAAGCCUGGAGAUUAUACAUCCCCAUCAUCAUGGCUUGUAACCUGCUAUGACCUUUUCCUCCAGAAAUCUGUCCAAUCCCCUUUUAAAGGCAUCAAGGCCAAAUGCCAUCACCACAUCCUGUGGCAAGGAGUUCCAUAGACUAACGACAUGCUGGGUAAAGAAAGUAAUUUGUUCUUGCUUUCUGGUAUUCUGUAUGCUUCUUCCUAAGGCAAAUAAUAUAGGCAUCCUUCAGUUUCAAUAGACUAUGGGGAGGAUAGUCUGUUACCCAAGCAGCAGAUUCCCCCUCUCCACAUCACUGAAAUAGUCCAAUGGAAAGGCAAGAGCCAAUACAGCUGGUUCCAGCGACUGCAAAGAAAGAAGGCAAAAAACCCCUCAACUUUCUUUGUGUCCAGACGAUGCACAAACAUGUCGAAGAAGGCAUUCCUCUUAGUAAAGGCAUCCCCUCUCCUGCCCUUCUCUCUAGGAUGGAAGGCUCUGUUUGCUCUCUGCUGUUUUCAAAGUACUUCCAGCAAUAAGGGUUUAACAAUUUUUUAAAAUCUUGUGAACAGUUUUUUUUAAAUCUCUUGAAUAGUUACACAAGAGGAGGAUAGGAUAGCUGAGUUGGAAGGGGCUUAUAAGGCCAUCGAAUCCAACCUCCUGCUCAAGGCAGGGAUCCCGAGUCAAAGCAGGUCUGACAGAUAGUUGUCCAGUUUUGUCUUGAAUGCCUCCAUUAUUGGAGCACUCACCACCUCCUGAGGCAAUGGGUUCCGUUGUCGUACUGCUCUAACAGCACAGGAGGGGGUACCUUCCUAUGUUAAUGUAGCGUAAUUCUCUGAAGCUGAUAGUUGUAGCCAGUUCAUUGAGACACAACUGCAGUCCUGCUGACCACCUUUUCUUGCCUGUUCCUCUCAAUUCAGGUUUUUCUAACAUUACAAUAAAGCAGGAAGAAGAAGAAGAAGACA